ensembl:lncRNA
AAAGAAGGCUGGCCUGGUGAUGGUGAGGAGGAAGUGUAGCUCUAAACAGAAGACCCCGGAGGAGGGGGUUCUUCUCAAAGAUAACUAAAUGGAUUCGUGGUGAACAGAGCCCGUGCAGUGGUCAUUUUGAAAUCCUGAGACCAGAUGGAACCGUGAUCCCAGUAAAUUCAGAAGAUCAGAACUGCCUCUUCCACGCUGUUGCUCAGGCCACCUGUAAAAAUCCAGGUGAUGUAGGAAAAGAGGCACGGGUGCUUCGGGAGCAGGUCAGAAACAAUCUUCAGCAAAACCUACCCAAAUACGUAGGAGCUCUGAAACUGCAGAAAGGCUAUGAAACCUGUAACUCUCCUGGAAGAUAUUACAUAUGUGGAGGAGAUCGAAAGGCACGAAGAAAAGCCGUAGACGAUUUCAACGCCAUCUUGGGCGACACGAGCAAGAAAGGUUUGAGUCCAGAGGAAUUACGAGAUAUCCAAGAAUGACGUCUGGGUUUGGUUGGAACGCACACUGAUGUGUACAAAAUCCGUGUGGAAACCUCAAACCAAAGAGAAUGUGGUGAAAACAGGCUGGCGGUGGAAGCAGACCAUGUGCCACCUAAAUGUGUCUUUCAGAAUGCCCUUAAAACGUUGCAGGACCCUGAGAACGUAAAGUUAAGAGAGAACCUGAAAAACAAAAGUCCCCACCUUCAUGCACUGUUGGAUAAAAAUGGAGACCGCGGUCUGUGCAGAGAGGUUCUGAAAUCGCACCAUGAGGCAGGCCUGACCUGGUGCAACAGAAAAGAGUCUCGUAUAAUCAGCGAGAAGCUUGAGGAGAUUCUUAUUUCUGGAGACGGGGAAAAACUGGUGAAGAUGUCACUGCUGGCAGCCAAUCCGGUUACAUCCAAUUCUCUUAGAGAGGAUGCAGGAAUCCUCAUGCUGAACAGCUCAAAUAUGUCCAGAGACGCAACGAAGCGCUACCACGAUGUUGGAGACAAGCUGCUGGUGGAAGGUUACUACAAGAAAGGAGUCCUGAACGAGGAGGAGAGGCACAGCAUCAUGGACUGGCUGAAGGGUGGAAACCUGUACUCAAAGAACACGUCAGAGUACAAAGAGAUGUGCAGUGAGCUGAGAGCCAAGAUACAGAAACACAACAACAACAGUGGAAAAUAACAACAGUGUGUGUGUGUUUAACUGAACGUAUCAGACAUCCAAACUGAGAAAGCUCAGUUUUAUUUGAUGUUUUUAUCAUUUAUAUAUUUCGUUAUCCUCUCUGACCGUUUCAUCAUCAUCCUCUUUUCCUCUUUUCCCAGAAAACAAAGAAGGAAAAGAGUUUCUCUGAAAGAUUUUAAUCCGAGGAUAAAAAGCAGCUCAAAGACAGUGAUUUGUAAUCACAGGAGCUGUUGUGUGUUCUCUGUGUAACACCUGUCACAGGUACCUGUGAGUGGGCCCUGGGCCUCUGCUUAUAGCACAACAUAUGAAUCAUGAUAUGACUUGUGUAAUUAAACCACAACACAAGAGGUUCAUUUAAACGCAGCAGGCUCACCUCAUUGAUUCCAGAUCAGAAAACAAAGUGUGUGUGUGUGUGUGUGUGUGUGUGUGUGUGUGUGUGUGUGUGUGUGUGUGUGUGUGAGAGGUUACACUGGUGUUUGGGGUCAG